UGAGUUAACUGCCCUUGGCCCUGUGA
rnacentral:piRNA from 1 species